rnacentral:rRNA from 1 species
UACAGAGGGGGCAAGCGGUGUUCGGAAGUACUGGGCGUAGAGGGCGCGUAGGCGGCCUGUUAAGUCGAACGUGAAAUCCCCAGGCUCAACCUGGGAACUGCGUCUGAUACUGGAUGGCUUGAAUCCGGGAGAGGGAUGCAGAAUUCCAGGUGUAGCGGUGAAAUGCGUAGAUAUCUGGAGGAAUACCGGUGGCGAAGGCGGCAUCCUGGACCGGCAUUGACGCUGAGGAGCGAAAGCCAGGGGAGCAAACGGG